rnacentral:tRNA from 3 species
GCAGAAGUACCCAAGAGGCUCAAGGGGCUCCCCUGCUAAGGGAGUAGUGCUGGAAACGGCAGCACGAGUUCGAAUCUCGUCUUCUGCGCCA